GUUGUACAUUUCCUUUAAAUUAUCAUUAUGACACACUUUAAUGAUGCCUGGUCAAUAAAUCUUGCUUGUUAGCAGCUGCACACAUUUGAAAUAUAAAACAGAAAAGAAGCUUACAUGCAUGAUUGCCACUAACGAGACUUCAUGACAUCUCUUACUGAAAGGAAAAUGGUCAAGGAAAUUGAGAGGUGUUCAAGGAACUUCAAAGGUGUUUCGAAAAUAUAUUUGUGUUUGGUACAUUGUAGGUCAAUGCAGGCUUCUUUGUGAUUGUUAACAACAUCCUACAAAUCGAUGAGGAAGCCACCUUUGAUGAGACCGACGAUGUUUAUCAACGCAAGGCAGCUCUUUGGGGCCAUAAACUGCAGUCUCGUUACCCCCGAGGUCUCUCUCUCUCCAGCGAUCUCAGCUUCGCAUCCACACGCCCGACUCUCAAACGGAUGACGACUUAAACGAGAAUUGGAUUUCAGUGUUCAGCACCCAAGAGGAUCCACAGUUAAAGCAGAAACAUCAAUUUUUCUGCCUCCUAAAAUCCUGGGACUUAUCCCUGGAGGUAACCAAGCACCUUUGCCAUGGUCCCAAAAGGUCCAGGCUGUAGUCACCCUCGCACACAUCACACUGACUGACAGACAUAUUGACUCACUGACGGUCGCUAGUGGACCGGGCAGAGCUGUAGGAUUACCCGGUUACACCAAUGAAUGGAUUUACUCGCCCGUCCCUACGCUGCAACAGCAAGAAUAUUGAAUUUGAACUGGUUCAGUAAAACCAAUCAACCAAUAACCUUGUGCAAACGAACGAUCAGUGAUAAGGAGCCAAAUGAUCGUGACAGUGGGUUUUUUAUAGACAGCUUUUCUUUGUCUCAUCAAACAGGCGCUGGCGAUCAGGUUCCAGCUAGUAUCUUCCUGUAUCAGAACGUACAGCAGGCUGUUUCGUCUCCCACACUGAAUUAUGCAGGUGAGCAGAGUAAGAAUGAGACGGUCGGUAGUGCCGAGUGCGUGUUCUGGAAUUUCACUGUGAAUGAUGGGCGUGGCGAUUGGUCCACACAGGGAUGCAGGCAUGAAUCGCUACCCGAUGGCGUCAUCAGGUGUCUGUGCGACCAUCUAACCAGCUUUGCUGUUAUUGUGGAAACUCUGUACCAAGCAUCCCCAGCAGAUCCUGAUCAGCCCGUGUGUUUCCUUGCUGGCUCUCUACCUCAUCUUCUUGCUGUGUAUUGAGGCCAUGGCUUCCAGGCCGGAUUGCAUCCUUGCGGCUGCUCUGAUCCACUACUUCAUUUUAACCUUCAAUUUGAUGCAUAUCUCUUCGGGUAGAAAGAUCAGGUGUUUUUGAACCACUUUAACAUUUAACCCUACGAGCUGUGAAGGGGCUCACGCGCUAGGCACUUUUUUUGGUUCUUAACUUUUUUUAUGAAGCUAUCGCCCAAUUCCCUUGAAACUACAUGUGUUCCUUGUGGUUUGAGAUGGUAUGGUCGCUUUUCUUGUAGGAGUUCACUUGGGGGGUCAGCCGCCCCUGGGAAAGUUGGGCCUCCAGCCAAAGCCCAUUCACUUGUGCACAAAAACAGCACAUUAACUUGUGCACAACAAAAGCUCUUUGUGUUUUACCGCCUAGUUGAGGUGCCCUCAAAACAUUGUCAUCAAUCAUCCUGGCCCAGUGACAGCUGGGGAACCUAUUUAGACCAUUAGAGAAAGGAUUGUGUACACAGAAUGGUAUUUGACACCGAAAUCAAAACUGCCUCACGCGUGAGCACCUUGGGAACUCGGCGUCAGUUUUUUUGCUUCGCAGCUCGCAGGGUUAAGAGAGGGGCAUUAAUUAUAUUAAUGAUAACUCACAAAGAGCGGAAAGGAUGCUUCAAGAAAAAUAUGAAUUUUGGAAACAAAGAUUGAGGGUCCCACACAUCUUUGUGAAUUGAAAAGAAAAUAACCAUGUAAUUGAUGUACAGUAGCGUUGUGCAUCGGGUUGGGUUGACCAGGCCAAACCGACCCGAAACAUUAUUGAUAUAAACCGAAUCUGACCCGACCUGACAAAAGUUCAAGGAAAACCGACCCAAAACCAAACCGAUCCGACAAAAAACCCCCAGAAUAUCUGGCUUGGGCAACUGUGGCUGCUUUUUGUGCCUGAACUUAGCCGUGUUGCGUGAAAAUCGUCAUCUCUCAGUAACUGAAUCAUCCCGUGCGGUACUCACAACGGGACCUACUGGUGGGCCUACAUGUUAUAUAGAUCGUGCGUGAUAGACCGCAAACCAUUUGGUCGUACCGGGCACAGUGACUCUACAAUAAAUAGUACACCGUGUGAAUUUCUACACUUUUUGGGGUUAUUUUCGAUUUAUUUCUGGUUUUUCCAAAAUGGCUUAACCGACCUGACCCAAACCGAAAAUCGCAGAUGGAAAACCAAAACCGACCCGACUGAAAUGGACAAACUGACCCGACCCGACCUGACCCAAAGUAGGUUUCAGGUCGGGUUUGCACAACACUAAUGUACAGCUUUUAUAUGUUUAUUGUGGUUAUCUUCUCGUUAAUAAUUCUUGUCCGAUUUUAAGCAAUUAUUUAUUGAGUCAAUUUAAAUGACUAUCAAUAUUGAAGGAUUUUUUUUAUUUCUGAACAGAAAGAAAAUGUUUCUUUACAAUUUUGUCUAGGUCUUCCAUUGCUGAUUGCAGUUGUUUUUCUGCUCAUUGAUUACAUGUACAUUAAUUAUGAAAACCCCAAUAAAUAAGUACAUGUACUUUGCUAAAUGACUGUGAGUAUUGUUGUAAAUGUAAUGUUCAUGCUUUGAAAAACUGCCCAGUUUUCAAAUGUCGCAGCUGUUAAUCCAGUGAGACUUGGAUAUUUCAAAAGGACAUUUUCUCUUUCAGGCAUGGAAUUUUUCCUCGGAUCCGCUGAUUUCCUUGUUUUUUGGUUUUUUUUUACUUCUCAUGAAUACCGUUACAAAUUGAA